GAUGCUGUCAGUGAACUUCAGUCUGUUUGUGACUUUGUUUCUGCUCACAAUAAGAGGUGUCAGCUGUGAAGAACUCACUCCAGUCAAGAAUGAAGAGUUCGCUUUAGAAGACAGCUCUGUUACUCUGUCCUACAAAUACUCUAAAAAAGCAAAUGUUGGAGAUUAUUUCUUCUGGUAUCGACAAUAUCCAGGAAAACCACCAGGGCUCCUCAUCUCACACUCUGCUUCAGGAGCAGUAGGAAAUGAUCCAAUCCCUGGAUGGUCUGCUAAAGUGAGUGAUGAUAAAACCCAUCUGGAUCUGCAGAUCUCCUCUGCUGCAGUGACAGACUCUGCUGUGUACUACUGUGCUGUGAGGCCCACAGUGACAGGAAACACCAAAGCUCUGUACAAAAACCUGACAGCUCCUCUGAAGAUUUACUCACUGCAGCUCCUCCUUUUACUGAACAACAGUGACACCAAGUGGACACUGACAACACAAUCUAAUGACAAGUUACAACAUUACUCCUGUUAG